CCAGAGAAGAAUCAAGGCCUCCAAAAUUAGUCAUGGAAUCUGUCACUCUUCCACUAGAAACCUUAGUGUCCCCACAUGAGGAAAGUACUUCAUUAUGUCCUGAGGAACAGUUGGUUAUAGAAAGGCUACAAGGAGAAAAGGAACAGAAAGAAAAUUCUGAACUUUCUACUGGAUUGAUGGACUCUGAAAUGACUCCUACAAUUGAGGGUUGUGUGAAAGAUGUUUCAUACCAAGGAAGCAAAUCUAUAAAGUUAUCAUCUGAGACAGAGUCAUCAUUUUCAUCAUCAGCAGACAUAAGCAAGGCAGAUGCGUCUUCCUCCCCAACACCUUCUUCAGACUUGCCUUCGCAUGACAUGCUGCAUAAUUACCCUUCAGCUCUUAGUUCCUCUGCUGGAAACAUCAUGCCAACAACUUACAUCUCAGUCACUCCAAAAAUUGGCAUGGGUAAACCAGCUAUUACUAAGAGAAAAUUUUCUCCUGGUAGACCUCGGUCCAAACAGGGCCGUGGGUCUGGAUUUCCAGGAAAGCGGAGACCUCGAGGUGCAGGACUGUCGGGGCGAGGUGGCCGAGGCAGGUCAAAGCUGAAAAGUGGAAUCGGAGCUGUUGUAUUGCCUGGGGUGUCUACUGCAGAUAUUUCAUCAAAUAAGGAUGAUGAAGAAAACUCUAUGCACAAUACAGUUGUGUUGUUUUCUAGCAGUGACAAGUUCACUUUGAAUCAGGAUAUGUGUGUAGUUUGUGGCAGUUUUGGCCAAGGAGCAGAAGGAAGAUUACUUGCCUGUUCUCAGUGUGGUCAGUGUUACCAUCCAUACUGUGUCAGUAUUAAGGAGAACUUAUGGAUUGUGAUGGAAAAUCAGAAUCUAGUCCUGAGCGGGAAGCUGUGGAUGAUGAAACUAAGGGAGUGGAAGGAACAGAUGGUGUCAAAAAGAGAAAAAGGAAACCAUACAGACCAGGUAUUGGUGGAUUUAUGGUGCGGCAAAGAAGUCGAACUGGGCAAGGGAAAACUAAAAGAUCUGUGAUCAGAAAAGAGUCCUCAGGCUCCAUUUCCGAGCAGUUACCUUGCAGAGAUGAUGGCUGGAGUGAGCAGUUACCAGAUACUUUAGUUGAUGAAUCUGUUUCUGUUACUGAAAGCACUGAAAAAAUAAAGAAGAGAUACCGAAAAAGGAAAAAUAAGCUUGAAGAAACUUUCCCUGCCUAUUUACAAGUAAGAAGCUUUCUUUGGAAAAGAUCUUCUAGAUACAAGUAGACAAAGCAAGAUAAGUUUAGAUAAUCUGUCAGAAGAUGGAGCUCAGCUUUUAUAUAAAACAAACAUGAACACAGGUUUCUUGGAUCCUUCCUUAGAUCCACUACUUAGUUCAUCCUCGGCUCCAAC
rnacentral:lncRNA from 1 species